rnacentral:misc_RNA from 1 species
CAAAUCUAACAGUUUCUUGGAAUUAUCUUUAUUUCACAUGUGUCCAGAUACACUUCUCUCCUGUCAAAAAUACUGAAAAAAUAAGCCCUUCAUUGGAGUACUGCACAAACGACAGCUGUCUAAAUAAUGAAGAAAAUCUCACAAAAUUAACCUCCCUUAUAGACUGAUACUAGUGAUGAAUAUCGAGAAGUUAUUCUUCUCAAAAAAAAUAG